CCUACGGGAGGCAGCAGUGGGGAAUUUUGGACAAUGGGGGAAACCCUGAUCCAGCCAUCCCGCGUGAGUGAAGAAGGCCUUCGGGUUGUAAAGCUCUUUCGGCAGGAACGAAACGGCGGACUCUAACAUAGUCUGUCAAUGACGGUACCUGAAGAAGAAGCACCGGCUAACUACGUGCCAGCAGCCGCGGUAAGACGUAGGAGGCAAGCGUUGUCCGGAAUUAUUGGGCGUAAAGCGCCCGUAGGCGGGGGGGAAAGUCGGGGGUGAAAUCCCCCGACCCAAUCGGGGACCCGCGCCCGAUACUCCACUCCUGGAGGGAAGCAGAGGAAGGCGGAAUUCCCGGUGUAGCGGUGAAAUGCGUAGAUACCGGGAGGAACACCGUUGGCGAGGGCGGCCUUCUGGGCUUCUCCUGACGCUGAGGGGCGAAAGCCUGGGG
rnacentral:rRNA from 1 species